GGGCAGCVGGCGCSCAAAUUGCCCAAUGUCAAAAAAAAACGAUGAGGCAGCGAAAAGAAAUAGAGCCGACAGUGCCUUUUGUAUUGUCGUUUUCAAUGGGGGAUAUUUAAACCCAUCCAAAAUCGAGUAACAAUUGGAGGACAAGUCUGGUGCCAGCACCCGCGGUAAUUCCAGCUCCMAAAGSCUAUAUUAAUGCU
rnacentral:rRNA from 1 species